AAUUAACGAUGAAAAAAUGCUUUCUCUGAACAUCUCGGAGUAGCUUAUAAUAUGAGUUUUUUAACACUGAACGUU
rnacentral:snoRNA from 1 species